UCCAAGCAGUGUUCAGUGAGCUCUGGUUAGUGGCUCAGUGGGAAGCACAGGGUUGUAGAUGGGUCAUAGACUGGUGGGAACAUACACUUCUCUGCUAUAAGUUCAUGAUUUAUUUAGCUAAAAACACAGAGCAUGUAAGGUGGCUGUUCAGUAGCAGUAGAUGCAACCUGUUUUUCUGUGGCUUUUCCUUCGCCCUUGGGUUUGCAACUAAGAGCACAGCAAAGUGAACUCAGGGAAUAUUUACCUCCAUUAGACACUCUUGGUUGUUGAGCCAAACUCAGCAUUAUCAAGAAUUCCUCCUCACCUAGACAAAAUGGGGAAAUGCAAAAGUCAAAAACACAAAUAAUGAAUUUCAGGAGAGUCAAGGCAUUUCUUGCAAGAUACAUGGCGAUGUUCUUCUAUGUCAGAUUA